GACGAACGCUGGCGGCGUGCUUAACACAUGCAAGUCGAACGGAAAGGCCCCUUUGGGGGUCCUCGAGUGGCGAACGGGUGAGUAACACGUGAGUAACCUGCCCUUGACUUCGGGAUAACUUCAGGAAACUGGGGCUAAUACCGGAUAGGAAUCCUUGCUGCAUGGUGGGGGUUGGAAAGCUUCGGCGGUUUUGGAUGGACUCGCGGCUUAUCAGCUUGUUGGUGGGGUAGUGGCUUACCAAGGCUUUGACGGGUAGCCGGCCUGAGAGGGCGACCGGCCACAUUGGGACUGAGAUACGGCCCAGACUCCUACGGGAGGCAGCAGUGGGGAAUAUUGCACAAUGGGCGGAAGCCUGAUGCAGCAACGCCGCGUGCGGGAUGACGGCCUUCGGGUUGUAAACCGCUUUCAGCAGGGGCGAAGCUUGUGGUGACGGUACCUGCAGAAGAAGCACUGGCUAACUACGUG
rnacentral:rRNA from 1 species